rnacentral:rRNA from 1 species
GAUGAAUGCUGGCGGCGUGCCUAACACAUGCAAGUCGAGCGGCAGCGAGGGGUGCUUGCACCCUGUCGGCGAGCGGCGAACGGCUGAGUAACGCGUAGGAAUUUGCCCCAAAGUGAGGAGUAACUGCCCGAAAGGGUAGCUAAUGCCGCAUAUGGUCUUCGGAUUAAAGGAUUUAUCCGCUUUGGGAGAAGCCUGCGUUGGAUUAGGUUGUUGGUAGGGUAAUGGUCUACCAAGCCGACGAUCCAUAGCUGGUCUGAGAGGAUGAUCAGCCAGACUGGAACUGAGACACGGUCCAGACUCCUACGGGAGGCAGCAGUGAGGAAUCUUCCACAAUGGGCGAAAGCCUGAUGGAGCAACGCCGCGUGAAGGAUGAAGGCCUUCGGGUUGUAAACUUCUUUUAUGAGUGAAGAAUAUGACGGUAACUCAUGAAUAAGCACCGGCUAACUACGUG